UAAUGGUGUCACACUACAUUAUUAGAGUUACAAUUGAUCAGUGGCAUUGAGGUGUGAGUUUUCUUUCUUUAUUUUGAAAUUUAUAUUGGCGAUUACAGGAAUGAUGCACGGUCACGUGGUCACAGGUAGAAUACUCUCACGUGUACACGCAAAGGUAGAGAUGACGUCAUUUCCGUGCGCCCUCUCUCUUUUGCCGAAUGCGAUAGCGAUGAGAGGCACGGCUAGACCAGAGAUUCGCCAUUUAUUAUCUGAUGGUGUCUGUUUCAAUACAGUGAUUGGAGAAUACAGAAGCUGGAAGUAAAUCAUA